rnacentral:lncRNA from 1 species
AGAAUCUGGAUAUUUUGAUCAAAAAAACUGUCUGCCAUAACUGAGCCUUUACAUUGUCAUCUUUUUUGAUCAAAAUAUUUUGAUGCCAGCCUUCCUUCCACUGCCCUAAACUAUAAAGCAUUUUUUAAUGAGUUGAAAUUAAGGAAGGACUACACCUACUAGAAAAAAAGAGAAGAAAGUUCUAUUAGUUUGAGGUUUCAGAAUCCCCCCAAACCAGGACCAGUAUCGUGGUAAAGGCUAGGCUGGGAGCCCGGACAGAGUAUGAGAAUGUGCAGGUGGCAUCCCUGAGGAUUCAGAGCUUCAGUGGACCGUGAGUGCUCCAGCUGCAUAACUCACUGAACUGUCUUGCCAGUUUCUACACUGGCUCGACUGGGCAUAAUUCAAAAACGAAAAACUCAUAUUCAUUCCAUUCUUCUGGAGCUCUGUGAUAGCAUUUAAUAACACCCCAAUGGGAUGUCUUCCACAUAUAGUAUUAUGGUAUUUCUUCAAGUAAUUGCUAAAAGAUACAGGGUCUAAUUGUUCUAUAAUACUCAUACCCAUUUUAUCUAGAUGUUCAAUGGAUCUACAAAUCUCCCCCUGGGAUUCAUCAUAGUAACUGUGACGGAACCUUUGACCCCAAUGGCAGAAAUCAGAAGAAACCACAAAGAGAUUACUAGGAUCCGCUAGAUAUUUACUGAAAAGUUCCGAAUUCCUGUUCUUUUGACUCAGAGCUCCAACCAGUAAAGGAAUAAUGGUAAACUCAUCCUUAUGGCUUUCCAUGGCUUUAGCUGUAUAAGGCAAAUGCAUUUCAAUACUGCGUUCAUCUUCAUCUGUCUGCAGAGACAUGCGUUCAAACAUUCCUGUCUUCCAUAGUUCUCCGUAAAUCUUUUGGUCAAUACGAAGGUCAUACAGGGGUGUCCUAUAUAUAUCCACACUGGAAAGUGCACAUCGAGAGAGGGGCACAUGAUGAGAAGGCCCAAGGAUGAAAAUUCUCCGGGUAAUAGACGGAUCCACUUGUUUAUAAGCAUGGGCAGCACAAGACCCACAGUACGUAUAUCCUGCAUGGGGGGCAAUAAUGGCUCUAGCAGGUCUUUUUGUAGACUGUACUUGUGAAAGCCAACCUUCUAGCUGUGCAUUCAGCUGCGGUCCUGAGGCUGUGUACCAGCUCCCGGCGUGACUGGCUUCUCGGCAGACCACUCGGUUGGACAUCUUGGUGCCUGUGCCGCCUAUGGUGCACGAGGAUGAAUGAGGAGGCGGCGGCGGCGGCGGCAGGAGCGGCUCCGCGAGGGGACGAGACACCGCGGGCCCAGCCCAGGAGGAGGCGG